UGGGGAAUAUGGCGCACUGGCCGAGAGGCUGACGCAGCGACGCCGCGUGUGGGAUGAAGGUCCUGGGAUUGUAAACCACUGUCGGGAGGGACAAAGGCCCCGCAAGGGGAUUGACGGUACCUCCAAAGGAAGCACCGGCUAACUCCGUGCCAGCAGCCGCGGUAAUACGGAGGGUGCGAGCGUUGUCCGGAAUCACUGGGCGUAAAGGGCGCGUAGGCGGCCCGGUAAGUAGGGGGUGAAAUUCCACGGCUCAACCGUGGACCGGCCUCCUAAACUGUCGGGCUUGAGCACGGUAGAUGCAGAUGGAAUUCCCGGUGUAGCGGUGGAAUGCGUACAUAUCGGGAAGAACACCAGUGGCGAAGGCGGUCUGCUGGGCCGUUGCUGAGGCUGAGGCGCGACGGCGUGGGGAGCAAACAGGAUUAGAUACCCUGGUAGUCCACGCCAUAACGAUGGGCCUAGGCUUCGGGGGGAGGACCCUCUCGGUCCGUCGCUACGCAAUAGUGCCCCGCCUGGCGACACGGCCGCAAGGCU
rnacentral:rRNA from 1 species